rnacentral:rRNA from 1 species
AGAAUUCCUGGCUCAGAUGAACGCUUAGCGGGCAGCCUAAAACAUGCAAGUCGCGGGGGCUAAGAUUUGUGUGCUUGCACGACCCAGAUGAGCGCACCGGGCCGGGUGCGCACCGCGUAUGAACCUGGCCACUCUUGCAAACACGACUAGAGAAAGCCCAGGGGAACUUGGCAGUAGUUGCCCGUAGGUAUUCGCGUUACUGAUAGUGAUGUGAUUUAAAGGCUUUCGGCGGCAAGAGAUGCCUGACGUCAUUGCUUGAUGGAUAGAUGGUUUAACGGCCUCCAUGGCUACGAUGGGUAGGGCGCCUGAGAGGGGGAUCCCCCACUGGAUACUUGAGACACGGACCAGACUCCUACGCGGAAGGCAGCAGUGAGGAAUAAUUGGACAAUCGGAGAGGAAGACUUCUGAUACAAAGCACAUGCGCUGUGCAGGAAGACGGCCCUAUGAGGUUGUAAACUGCUGUUUGAUACCGGGAGAAAAACGCUACGUGUAGUUGAUGACCGGUACCGAUAAGAAUGAAGGACGCGCUAACUCCGUGCGCCCAAGCCGGCGGUAAAUACGGAGGGGUCGAGGUUAUCCCGAAUUAUUGGGGUUUUUAAGGGUCGUGGAGGCGGGCGAUUCACGUCCAGAUGGUGGAAGGUCUGCAGCCUCAACUGUAGAUUGCCUUUUUUUAUAACUGGUCGUCUUGAAAGUUUAUUGGUGGAAGUGGCGUGGAAUAUGUAGUGUGUAGCGGUGAAAUGCAUAGAUAUUGACAUAGACCCCGGAUUGCGAAGGCAGUCACUAACCAUAUUACUCGCAGCUGAUGCGACGAAAGUGGCGGAGCGAACAGGAUUAGAUACCUGGUAGUCCACGCCGGUAACACGAUGGAUAACUAGCUGUCCGCGUAUCCUUGAGUAUGGAGCGGCCAAGCGAAAGUGAUACAGUCUCGCCCCACCUGGGCGAAGCUACGUUCGCAAGAAUGAAACUCAAGGAAUUUGACGGGGGCCGCGCACAGAGCGAGUGGGCAUGGUUGCGUUUAUUUUCGAUGAAUACGCUAGGAAACCUUACCAGGGCUUAAAUAGAUAUUGACAGGGGGUAGAGAUACCUUUUCCUUCGCGCAAUUUUCGCAAGGAUGCUGCAUUGUCGAAUUUGUCUGUCAGCUCGUGGCCGUGAAGGUGGUCAGGUUAGUCCUUAACGAGCGCACCCGUACCGUUAGUUUGCGCCGAGUUCAAGUCGGGACUCUAACGGGAUCCUGCCGGUGCAACACGUGAGCGAGGUGGGGGAUGACGUCAAAGAUCAUCAACGCCCAUUACGUCUGGGCCACACACGUGCAUUCGAAUGGCCGGUUACCAGAGGAGCAGCCCAUCUGCACAGAGAGGAAUCUAUAAACCGGGUCACAGUUCGGAUCGGUCUGCAACUCGACCCGGGAGUGAAUCGCUAGUAAUCUGGUAUCGACGAUGAUCCGGUGGAAUACGUUCCGGGCCUUGUACACCGCCCGGUUUCAAGCAUGGAAGCGCGGAGUGCCUGAAGUCCGUCACGUAAGGGAGCGGACUUUAGGGGCAAUGAUCGGUACUGUAGCGGCUAAGUCGUAACAAGGGUAGCCCGUACCGGAAGGUGCGGCUG